GAUGAACGCUGGCGGCGUGCCUAGUACAUGCAAGUCGAGCGAACGGACGAGAAGCUUGCUUUUCUGAUGUUAGCGGCGGACGGGUGAGUAACACGUGGAUAACCUACCUAUAAGACUGGGAUAACUUCGGGAAACCGGAGCUAAUACCGGAUAAUAUUUUGAACCGCAUGGUUCAAAAGUGAAAGGCGGUCUUGCUGUCACUUAUAGAUGGAUCCGCGCUGCAUUAGCUAGUUGGUAAGGUAACGGCUUACCAAGGCAACGAUGCAUAGCCGACCUGAGAGGGUGAUCGGCCACACUGGAACUGAGACACGGUCCAGACUCCUACGGGAGGCAGCAGUAGGGAAUCUUCCGCAAUGGGCGAAAGCCUGACGGAGCAACGCCGCGUGAGUGAUGAAGGUCUUCGGAUCGUAAAACUCUGUUAUUAGGGAAGAACAUAUGUGUAAGUAACUGUGCACAUCUUGACGGUACCUAAUCAGAAAGCCACGGCUAACUACGUG
rnacentral:rRNA from 1 species